UACGUAGGGGGCAAGCGUUGUCCGGAAUCAUUGGGCGUAAAGCGCGUGUAGGCGGCUCGGUAAGUCUGCUGUGAAAGUCCAGGGCUCAACCCUGGGAUGCCGGUGGAUACUGUCGAGCUCGAGUCCGGAAGAGGCGAGUGGAAUUCCUGGUGUAGCGGUGAAAUGCGCAGAUAUCAGGAGGAACACCAAUAGCGAAGGCAGCUCGCUGGGACGGUACUGACGCUGAGGCGCGAAAGCGUGGGGAGCGAACAGG
rnacentral:rRNA from 1 species